AGAGUAUUAACCAAAUGGUUACCCGUUUAUCAAAUGGUGUAAUUUUGGUAGUGCUGCUAGCCAGUGCCUGUGGAGCGCGCAAUUGGGAAUUUGAACCCAGAUAGAAAACCAGCACCUCCUCGGAUGCCAGUCUUAUAAAAAUUGAUACCAGAGUUGAACACAGUGGACGCGGGGAAUUUGGGCUUUCCGGAAGCAUUGAGUGGAAAUAUAAAACUAGUAACGAAACCAUGUUGGAGGCUAGUGUUUUCCGAAGCAAUACGGGUGUUGAGAGUGACUACAAAGUGCUCCCAUGGGCAAAUUCCUAAGCAAUCCCUUUAGAAAGUGUCGAUGUUAAGCUUUAAGCACUGUUCAAAUCUUCUGCAGUUCGAGGGCAAAUUUCAAACGUCAUUUUCAAAAAAAAUACUUAUUUCAGCAACAAAUGCGUCAUCAACGGCGAUGGGCUUUCGGAUAUCAUCCCUCCCGGAUUUUAUAAAAUUAUUGUUAAGUGCGCUAGAACCAGGCCAGCCCUC